rnacentral:lncRNA from 1 species
AGCCAGGCUAGACACAAGAAAGGACCUUGGAGGGCUUCAAGUGGGAGACUGCAAUCAUAAAUCCUGGAGCUCCCAUUUGUGAGACCUGACCUCAAGUCCUCAGGAAUUGGCUUUAAUGGAAGAGCUGGACUAUAGGAUGAGUAAGAGGGUGGAGGAAGAGCCUAGAUGAAAGUACAAAUGGAAAUACACACCCGCCAUUAAAUGAAGUCCUUCCAUCCUGCCAUUUUGAAAAUCAAACCCACUUCCAGGUA